rnacentral:rRNA from 1 species
UACGUAGGGUGCGAGCGUUGCCCGGAUUUAUUGGGCGUAAAGGGCGCGUAGGCGGCCACGCACGUCCGUUGUGAAACUCGCCCGGCUCAACUGGGCGGGGUCAGCGGAUACGGUGUGGCUCGAGCAAGCUAGGGGGCAAUGGAAUUCCCGGUGUAGUGGUGGAAUGCGUAGAUAUCGGGAGGAACACCAGUGGCGAAGGCGGUUGCCUGGAGCUUUGCUGACGCUGAUGCGCGAAAGCGUCGGGGAGCGAGUCCGG